rnacentral:misc_RNA from 1 species
GUGAGUCAUCGAAUCUUUGAACGCACAUUGCGCCCUGUGGUAUUCCGCAGGGCAUGCCUGUUCGAGCGUCAGUACAACACUCAAGCUCAGCUUGGUAUUGAGCCACGUCCGCGAGGGCCGGCUUUAAAAUCAGUGGCGGCGCCAUCUGGCUCUAAGCGUAGUAAUACUCCUCGCUAUUGAGUCCUGGUGGAUGCUGGCCAGCAACCCCCAACUUUCAAGUUUGACCUCGGAUCAGGUAGGGAUACCCGCUGAACUUAAGCAUAUCAAUAAGCGGAGGA